AGAGUUUGAUCAUGGCUCAGAACGUACGCUGGCGGCACGCCUAACACAUGCAAGUCGAACGAAGUAGCAAUACUUAGUGGCAGACGGGUGAGUAACAUGUAGGUAUCUACCCUUUGGCCUGGAAUAACACGAGGAAACUUGUGCUAAUACCGGAUAAGUCUUUACGGAGAAAGCUUUAUGCACCAUCGGAUGAGCAGCACUUGAUUAGUUUGUUGGUGGGGUAAUGGCCUACCAAGACUGUGAUCAAUAGCUGAUUUGAGAGGAUGAUCAGCCACAUUGGGACUGAGACACGGCCCAAACUCUACGGGAGGCAGCAGUGGGGAAUCUUGCACAAUGGAGGAAACUCUGAUGCAGCGAUGCCGCGUGAGUGAAGAAGGCCUUUGGGUUGUAAAGCUCUUUCGUCGGGGAAGAAAAUGACUGUACCCGAAUAAGAAGGUCCGGCUAACUUCGUGCCAGCAGCCGCGGUAAUACGAAGGGACCUAGCGUAGUUCGGAAUUACUGGGCUUAAAGAGUUCGUAGGUGGUUGAAAAAGUUAGUGGUGAAAUCCCAGAGCUUAACUCUGGAACUGCCAUUAAAACUUUUCAGCUAGAGUAUGAUAGAGGAAAGCAGAAUUUCUAGUGUAGAGGUGAAAUUCGUAGAUAUUAGAAAGAAUACCAAUUGCGAAGGCAGCUUUCUGGAUCAUUACUGACACUGAGGAACGAAAGCAUGGGUAGCGAAGAGGAUUAGAUACCCUCGUAGUCCAUGCCGUAAACGAUGUGUGUUAGACGUUGGAAAUUUAUUUUCAGUGUCGCAGCGAAAGCGAUAAACACACCGCCUGGGGAGUACGACCGCAAGGUUAAAACUCAAAUGAAUUGACGGGGACCCGCACAAGUAGUGGAGCAUGUGGUUUAAUUCGAAGAUACGCGCAGAACCUUACCAACACUUGACAUGUUCGUCGCGACUCUAAGAGAUUAGAGUUUUCGGUUCGGCCGGACGAAACACAGGUGCUGCAUGGCUGUCGUCAGCUCGUGUCGUGAGAUGUUGGGUUAAGUCCCGCAACGAGCGCAACCCUCACUUUUAGUUGCCAUCAUUUAGUUGGGCACUCUGAAAGAACUGCCAGUGAUAAGCUGGAGGAAGGUGGGGAUGACGUCAAGUCCU
rnacentral:rRNA from 1 species